GCUUGUCUCAAAGAUUAAGCCAUGCAUGUCUAAGUGUAAAUAAGUCUAUACUGUGAAACUGCGAAUGGCUCAUUAAAUCAGUUAUCGUUUAUUUGAUGAUCUCUUACUACUUGGAUAACCGUAGUAAUUCUAGAGCUAAUACAUGCACAAAAUCCCGACUUACGAAGGGAUGUAUUUAUUAGAUACAAACCAACAUCGUGGUGAUUCAUAAUAACCGAACGAAUCGUAUGGCAUCAGCUGGCGAUGAAUCAUUCAAGUUUCUGACCUAUCAGCUUCCGACGGUAGGGUAUUGGCCUACCGUGGCAAUGACGGGUAACGGAGAAUUAGGGUUCGAUUCCGGAGAGGGAGCCUGAGAAACGGCUACCACAUCUAAGGAAGGCAGCAGG
rnacentral:rRNA from 1 species